CUUGUUUAGCUAGCCUACUUGUGUAUCGAGCUAUCUAACUGGGAAGCUAAGAUCACAUUAUUUGCACCGCCGUAAAGAUGCGAAAGUCAUGAGAAAUUAAAUGAAUUAAUAGAUGCAGGUUUAUGUAUUUAAUGGCAGAAAAUACAUUCGCAGUAUGUGAUACGUUAGGGACGUCGUAGCCUAAUUACCGUUUAAACUCCAGGAAGUUUGUGUGGGGAAAUCACUUGCUUGACGUUACAAAGAAUGUCAAUCCUGUGCGCUGUCGACAAUGCACUGAAACAGUGUGAAGUUGAAGAGGGUCGCUCCAACGACAACAUUUUCUUAUGUAGAGAUUUACUGACACAUAUGAAAAUUCGUCAUGCAUACUCAAGAGAGGAUACAGUUGCCAAAGAUGAUUCUAUAGAUAUUUCUCCUGAGGUGACAGAAGAGCUGGAGCAGCUGGAAAAGCUGCUUGAAAAGGCACGGAGAACCCUGGCCACACAUGCAGACCCAAGAGCCAGUACUGCGAAGGGAAAAGGGAGGACUCCUUCCCUGUUAAAUUCCCACAGAAAACAAAGCGAGAAUAUCACCAAAGUCAGCUUUGACAAAAGACCUCCCCAAGUGGCAAAGGCAUCAUCUCAUACCAAAGCAACACAAAGGAUUCCCGGAGCUCAUGGGCAAACGACCCAGGGUGGCCUAUUGAGAGGGCCUGGCCAAACAGAGACCCAUAAAUCAGGAGAGGCUCCACCUCUAAACUCAAAACAAACUAAAGUUUCAGUUGAUAAAAUUUGCACUCAGAACUUGGUUACUAAUGGCAAACUGAAGACUCAACGGAAAACCCUUUCUUCUGGUGAUGAUCUAUGUAGGACCAAGACACUCGGACCUCCUGAUGCUAACGUUAAGGCAAUUUUAGAAGAGAAGUGGAUUCCAUCUCCUCUCCUGCAAUCUUGGACAGCAAUGAGGAGCAAACAAAGCAGCCAGGCAGUAUAGAUGAAAGCUCCUGUCUUUUAAAAGGUUAUGGGACAAGGUGUUGGCCAGAGGUACACAAGUUGUUCCUGAGAAGACACACUUUACGGAGAAGCUUCAAAAUACUUUCCCUAUGGAGAUGCUUUCUGAUGCCCCUGCUGACGCCAGUUCUAGGAUGGGUUGCCUCACUGAGCUAGGCAGGGCACUCCAUUUUUGUCACCAUGCCGAGCGCAGCAUUAACCAGUCUUCAACUGAAGUAGACACUGGGAGACAACAUAAGUCUGAAGCAAUGCUCAAUGGACUUGAGGAAAUGAUGAUGGGUGUGCUGGCCCACACUGGGCAAAUGAUCUCAGUACUGGAUAAGUAUCACAGACAGGAGCCUGAAGUGUUGUGUCCAGUUAGAAGGAGGGGAGCAUGGGGAGACCCACAGAGACCCUGCCUGCCCCCUACUGUCUGCUACGACCAUCAGGCUGAGCUACAGGAGGUAGCUCACCUGAGACUGAGGGUGCAGCUACUACAGCAGGAGACAAAGCUCCAGCAGAUUCUCAGAGAUCGUCUCCACUGGGGUUUGCCUUCCUUCUCUGCUGUUGACCUGAGAGGACAGUAUUCUCUCCUGGGGGAGGGAGGACUAUAUUUCCCUACUCUUGUAAUGGACACUGAGCCAGAUUGAGUUGAAGUUACUUCAGCAGUCCAGAAGAGUUGAUGUGUGAGUGUUCUGCCAUUUGUGUCUGUUGUGAAAGUUUGGAAGGUGUAUUUUCAUAUGUAUAUAUAUAGUUUCUGGAAAUGAGCGCUGUUUGUGUGUGUGUGAGCUGUAUGUUCGUGUUGAGCUGUUUUGAGUGUUUAGUCAGAAAAACACUAGCAUAUCAGGAUUUUCAUUAAAGCCAAUCAUGUGGUGGUAAUAUGUGGGAAUUUGUGCCUGCUUAGUGUGUUGCAAUUUUAUUUCACCAGCAGAGGGAGCCAUCUAAAACUGACCUACUCUGAUGUUGCUAUUCAAUUUCAAUAUGGUUGGAUAGACUUGCAUUUUGAAUAAAUAAAUACUUUCAAAAGUC